AUUCAGCUGACGAGUCCUUAAUAGGACAAAACGAGUGUCCUGGAU
rnacentral:hammerhead_ribozyme from 1 species